rnacentral:rRNA from 1 species
UUUAAUUAUAAAUUUUAAACUUAAUGAUUAAUAGUUAUGUUCUUUAAAGUUAAAUAAUUUGGCGGUAUUUUAGUCUUUUCAGAGGAACCUGUUCUAUAAUUGAUAAUCCACGUUUAAUAAUACUUAUAUUAGAAAUUUACAUAUCGUCGUUAAAAAUAUUUUUUUAGAAUUAAAUAUUUGGGAUAUAAAAUUUUAUAAAAAUUCAGAUCAAGGUGUAGUUUAUAUAUAAGAAGAAAUGGGUUACAUUAAAUAAAUUUAUGGAUAAAAUUUUUAAAAAAUUUUAGAAAUUGGAUUUGAAAGUAAUUAUAUUUAUAUUUAUAUAAUGAUUAAGCUCUAAAAUAUGU